UUAAUUAGUCAGCCUUUUGAAAAUAUGGUUGUAGGGUCUCUAUUUAUAGAUUUAAUGUACUAAAAUAAUAAAAUAUAUAGUUAUAGUAGACGUAUUUAGUCAGGACUCAAACUAUUAAUUUAUUACUAUAAAUAAAGAAAAGGAAAGUUGUAAGUCUUCAGUUUGAAUUUGUGUAUCCAUGUCCAUCCAAAGUAUGGCUUUCCAGACCUGGAAAAUGUGUUGUCUUUCUCUAAGCUUCCUUAUCCAACCACGAUCGCUGCUUCCAACCCAUCAACCAUUCAUUUAACAUAUAAAAAAAUCAUCUAUUUUCUCAAAAUGUUUAUUACCUCUCUUUUUUGUUCCAGUUAGAGAUGAAAAUGAUAGAACUAAGUCAUGCACAGCCGAAAAAGAAUCGAAUUUCUACCCUAAUUGCCACAAUUAACAUGUAACCAUAAACUAAUCAAAUUAGGGUUUUAAGAAAUAUUACCUUUGAAGCUUUCAAAAGGUUUGAUAUCUUCUUACCAAUUCUAACCGAGACCACCACUAGUACUCAACUGCUAUCCUCUAGACAAAGAACCGGGUUGUGGGACCCAAUUUUGGUGUAGAAAGUAAUGAAGAUAAAAUGGGAUUGGAAGGUUUUUUUUUUUCUUUUGUUGAGAUGAUAAAAAAUGAUAAAAGAGGCAAAAGUUUUUCAACAUUUGAAAACACUUCUAUUUAUAACCUAAUUACAUGCAAAAAUGCAUGCAAUUCAUUUGCCAAAUUUCAACACCUAAUGUUCUACUAACAAUUAGUGGAACUUAGUGGGCUAGGUGUCUAUAUCUUAUAUAGCCACAUUUCCC
rnacentral:lncRNA from 1 species